GGGAGCAGAUGCCCCGCAAGCUUCUGCCCACCAGACUCGCGGAAGUUGGACUGGCGUGGGCAGGAAACCGGACGCCUGGGGCCCUGGCCUCUCCCAGAAGCGCACCGCCCAGUUUUCAGAUACUAGCCAAAUAUUUCUCAUUAGGAGGAUGGAUUGGAAAAGCAGUGGCGAGCGAUGAAAUGCCUCGAGCAUUUUUGUAUUGAUUUGCCCGGAGUAGGUAAACACAUUAAGUUAAAAACUGCCCAGUUCCAUCUCAGAGGCCAGGAAAUGCUGGAAAGUGAACUCAGCUGCUGAGCACAAGUGACUGGAGAGACAGUUUCCAGGUGAGCAUACAAAGUAACGGCUUUCACCAUGGCAUCUUAAAAGUAUUUUAAUUACACUUGUGUGUGUGUGUGUGUGUGUGUGUGUGUGUGUGUGUGCGCGCCCCACAGUGAGCUCAGAGGGCAGUUUAUAUGAGUCAGGUUGCUCCCAUUAUGCGAGUGGGGGUGGGGCUGAACAUGGGUCAUUCGGCGCAGUGGCAAGCAUCUUUACUGGCAGAGCCAUCUCGCCAGCCCUACCAUGGAACCUUCCUAUGUAAAUAUCAUUAUACUUUGUUUUCCUUGUUCCCUCCCCCAUUUUCUCCCCUCCACUCCCACCAACAGGUCUCACUAAGUAGUUCUGGCUGAUUUGGCAGUUACUGCCUCAACUGGGAUGGACUCAAAUCUACCUAUCUCUUUUAGGUCCUGGAAUUAAAAGUAUGCAGCAUGCUGGAUGAUAGUGGUGCACACCUUUAAACCCAGCACUCAGGAGGCAGAGCAAGCAGGUGGAGAAACCCUGUCUCAAAGGGGGAAGAAAGUUUAUUGUUUUGAUGAGUUUUCAUGGGAGCUUAUGGGCCUGCUUCCGAGAAACCACAGAGAAAGGCAGAAGGCAACCGCUUUGAAAGGGUCAUUGGCUCACAAAGGGGUCGUGACCCACACACAGGCUGAGCACCAUUGUCUCGUAGACCAUGUGGGCGGCGAAUGCGUUCACUCUUUCAACCAGCACAGCAAGCAAAGUCUCCCCAGUAA